ACAUGAUUUUAUGUCAGAAGUGGUUUGGUAACAGUCUUGUGAGGUAUGUAUUCUACUUAGAGUCAUAGAAACCAAAGCCAUGAGAAUUUAAGACAUGGACAGAGUUCAAAUCAAUUUUGAAUCCAGGUUGCUCUGAUUUGAAAGAUUUUUCUUCUCUAUACAUAUUGCUCAUAUUGACAAAGACUGUCUAAGUCUUUACUUAGAAAAAAAUAGUUAUUUCUGAAGAAAAAAUGAAUUCUGUAUUAUCUUUUCAGGUAUCUAAAGAUAGAGAUCUAGGAGCUAGCAAGUCGGAAUUUGGUUGCGUUCUGAAUCUACUCCUAACUUGCUCUGUGAUCCAAGGAGUCUUCAUCACGUCCAUGUGUGUGUGAGUAUGUGUGUGUGCAGAUUGUUUUUUACAUAGACUGGAAAUAUUGACCUCUAUAUUGUACAUAAGAAA
rnacentral:lncRNA from 1 species